rnacentral:rRNA from 1 species
UGGGGAAUUUUGGACAAUGGGCGAAAGCCUGAUCCAGCAAUGCCGCGUGUGUGAAGAAGGCCUUCGGGUUGUAAAGCACUUUUGUCCGGAAAGAAAUCCUUGGCUCUAAUACAGUCGGGGGAUGACGGUACCGGAAGAAUAAGCACCGGCUAACUACGUGCCAGCAGCCGCGGUAAUACGUAGGGUGCAAGCGUUAAUCGGAAUUACUGGGCGUAAAGCGUGCGCAGGCGGUUUGCUAAGACCGAUGUGAAAUCCCCGGGCUCAACCUGGGAACUGCAUUGGUGACUGGCAGGCUAGAGUAUGGCAGAGGGGGGUAGAAUUCCACGUGUAGCAGUGAAAUGCGUAGAGAUGUGGAGGAAUACCGAUGGCGAAAGGCAGCCCCCUGGGCCAAUACUGACGCUCAUGCACGAAAAGCGUGGGGGAGCAAAACAGGAUUAGAUACCCUGGUAGUCCACGCCCUAAAACGAUGUCAACUAGUUGUUGGGGAUUCAUUCCUUAGUAACGUAGCUAACGCGUGAAGUUGACCGCCUGGGGAGUACGGUCGCAAGAUUAAAACUCAAAGGAAUUGACGGGGUCAUAGCUGUUUCCU